rfam:Bifidobacterium mongoliense DSM 21395 Contig10, whole genome shotgun sequence.
UGAGACCUCUUGAUGGCCGCGGCACACUUCGGUGUGCUGAGGAACUUCCGGGCUCCACAGAGCACGAUGGCGGAUAACGUCCGCCCAGGGUGACCUGAGAGAGAGCGCAGCAGAGAACAGACCGCCCGGUUUCGGUCGGGUAAGGGUGAAACGGCGGUGUAAGAGACCACCGGGCCGCUGGUAACAGUCGGUCGCACGGCAAGCCUCAUCGGGAGCAAGGCCAAGCAGAAGGCACGUCGAUGCAAGUCGACAGGGGUUGCUCGCCCACGCCUUCGGGUAGGCUGCUAGAGCCUGGCGGCGACGUCAGGUCGAGAUGGAUGGCCAUCCAUGUGGCGACACAUGACAAAACCCGGGGUAUAAGAGGUCUCAUCUU